AGCAGCCGCGGUAAUUCCAGCUCCAAUAGCGUAUAUUAAAGUUGUUGCAGUUAAAAAGCUCGUAGUUGAAUUUCGGGAUCAGUUGGUCGGUCGUGCCUCGGUACGUACUGGUCAAAUUGAUUCCUACCUUCUGACGAACCACGAUGUCAUUAAUUUGGUGUCGUGGGAAAUCAGGACUGUUACUUUGAAAAAAUUAGAGUGUUUAAAGCAGGCUCGCGCUUGAAUACAUUAGCAUGGAAUAAUGAAAUAGGACGUUUGAUUCUAUUUUGUUGGUUUCUAGGAUCGACGUAAUGAUUAAUAGGGAUAGUUGGGGGCAUUAGUAUUCAAUUGUCAGAGGUGAAAUUCUUGGAUUUAUUGAAGACUAACUACUGCGAAAGCAUUUGCCAAGGAUGUUUUCAUUAAUCAAGAACGAAAGUUAGGGGAUCGAAGACGAUCAGAUACCGUCGUAGUCUUAACCAUAAACUAUGCCGACUAGGGAUCGGAUGAUGUUAAUUUAAUGACUCA
rnacentral:rRNA from 1 species